GGGCUAUAGCUCAGCGGGAGAGCGCUUGACUCACAUUCAAGAGGCCGCUGGUUCGAAACCAGCUAGCCCC
rnacentral:tRNA from 1 species